AAAAAGACACGGGAUCUGCGGGUCACAGAGGACCUCAGGGUCCUUCAGUGGAAUCAACAGCAUCAAAUUAUGCAACAUGGCAGUCUGGCCGGAGUCCGAUGAACACCUCCACCAACGUGCCGUCACCCAACAAGAGCACCCCCGGUCUGCUGCCUCGCCCACCGACACAAACCAUCCACGGGCGAACGGAUUGGUCUGCCAAAUAUGGACACCGCUAGUGCCCUCACUUCAAACUCUUUCACCUCCAAAGAGUAGGCCUAGUUGUUUUAUAAUAUAAGUCUGUACAUACAUCUUACACAGCAAUAACUUUUAAUGUUUUUCAUUAUGUGUACUAUGAAUGUUGUGAGAUGUAAAAAUAUCUAUAUGUAUAUUUAAAUGCAAGCGGCCAAAGUUUGGGCCCAGAUUUGCUCCUCAGUGUUUCAUUUUGUAUUUCUGUAUUAAAGCUACAGAGGUCACAACUUCAGUUGUGUAUCAGAUGUAUCAUUGAAUGUUCACCAACCUGUAUACAUAAUAUGCAUAUUAUAAUUGUAUGGAAACUUCACUGUGACCUGUAUUUGGCUGCAACUAAUUACUUUGCCUUUGUACAGUUUGGUGUGUUUUCCUUUUUCCCUGCUGUUUUUUUAUGACGGUAGCCUUGUCAAUCAGGUUACUAUUAUUUGUGCAUUAUAUGUUUUUAAUAAAAUGUAAUGCCUUGCUCUAUUUUCAAUUAAACAAUGCAAAUGGUUGCCACAAUGUACAAUUCAGUUUUAUUUCUGAAUUAAAAUGAUCCAAGACAACACGUUAUACCCCCUUGGCCAAAGUGAGUGUGAUUAUUGAAUUGCCUGUUAUUGAAUAUAAUUAAACUGUUGACUG